rnacentral:tRNA from 1 species
ACUGUGGCUCAGUCGGUAGAGCAAUCGAUUCGUAAUCGAUAGGUCGCGGGUUCGAUUCCCGCCAGU